AUUAUUCAAAGACAUCAAGAGUUUUGCAUUUACUGUAAUGGUCCAUAAAAACAGAAAUUUCUCUUUACAGUGUGCAAAAUGAUAUUUUUUCCUGCUUUCCCCUUUUAAUAUUUUUUCUUCAAGAUCAUUUUUUUUUGUCAUGGCUGCAGCUUCACAUAAAGAGGAAACUCAAGCAGCGGUCCAGAACGGUGUAUCAACACCAAGGAUCAGACAGGAUGAACUGAGAAGUCUAUCAGUGAUAAAGUCUCAAGAAACGAGCAUAACUCCUCGCGACACGUCACAGAAUAUUCUCUAACUGGAUUACAUGCUGUGGUCAUGUAAACAGCUACCCAUAGAGACUCCUUCUACAUGUAAACACACACUGCAGCCCACUUCAAAAUUCAGACUUUCUUUGAUCAGGCUUCAAAGGAUUAUCCAUUUUCAGUCUCCAUGUAAUCGUGUUCGAGGAUAAAGCACGUCUCAGUUUAAUAGUCUGGUUUUUCUAGUUUAACGCAAUGUUUAGCCUGUUGCCGCCAGCUGGUCCCGUCCCAUCCUCCGCCACAAGUAGAACAAAGUUGAGCCGAGGUUGAGGGAGGGAGGAGGGAGGCUGAGAUGGAAGCGUGCCGCUCUCUUUCUCUCGAUCGCCAUCUUCAUCCUUCCUUUCAGUCUCACUCCUUCCUGCAGACAUCCGUCACAUCUCGCAGCCAUCCUCCUCGCCUGAAUAACUGAUGACAGAGCGAGCUCGGUGUCGGUGCAGCUCACAGGACUCGGUGAAAGCCUUUUUUUUUUUUUUU